UUUGAAAACUUAUUCCCCAUUGGUGCCAGUGUGGUCUCUGCCGGUAAAACAUGACAAAGGAUUAGGAGGUCAUGAGAAGACAAGACUGCCACUUGGGCUGGGAGUUGGACCUGGACAGUCAAGAGGAUCCUCAUUCCCAUCUCAGUCUCUGAUUUUCAGAUAAUCCAGUUGCCCACUUUACUCCUGCUCCUACUGCUGCACCAUACCCUUGUUUGGGUACUGACUUAUAGGAAAACUGAGAAAAGUUUGUUUGUUUCAAGCACUAAGAUCCUUGGACCUGCAUCUGAGGGAGGUAAGAACGAUGCUGAUUAUUUUGUCAGAUCCUCUCUGUGGAGACACUCAGGCUAACUGUAGGUAUCACCUCAAGAAGUUUACUGAAG